AUUUACUCUUUUCUUAUACAUUUAAGAAUACUACUAUGAGUGAUGGAGAAAGAUGUUCACUAAUGGAUUAAAACAGAGGACUUUUACAUAUAAAACAUAUUGCAACAACACAUUAUAGUAUAGUGGUGUACAUUUGUUCAUGUUGGAAGCAAAAUUAUUUUUGUUAGUUGAAAACAAUAUGACUACAAAAUAUUAGGGUAAACAACAGAUCCUGUGAGAGGAAUAAUUUUACUGGAGGAUAAAAUUUUAAUACCUGGAAUCAGCAAUUUAUAUGAAAUGUGUUAAGAGAGAUGUAUUCAUGUGCAGAAUUGUUUCUUAGGUGGUAACCCCACCAGAUAACCCAGCUUGUUCUAGUGAUUAUUACAUGUAGCAGAAAUGUUUGCUGAACUAAUGAAGCAUUCAAUAAAUGAAACUUUUGCAGACUAUGGGCUCCUACUUUCCACACAAGUGUUGUGAAAAGAGGAAUUUUAGACAUAACAGACCCAUCAACAUUAAAAUGGAGA